UGGGGAAUAUUGGACAAUGGGGGCAACCCUGAUCCAGCCAUGCCGCGUGAGUGAUGAAGGCCUUCGGGUUGUAAAGCUCUUUUGGCGGGGACGAUGAUGACGGUACCCGCAGAAUAAGCCCCGGCUAACUUCGUGCCAGCAGCCGCGGUAAGACGAAGGGGGCUAGCGUUGUUCGGAAUUACUGGGCGUAAAGCGAGUGUAGGCGGUUGCCGUAGUCAGGUGUGAAAGCCUUGAGCUCAACUCAAGAAAUGCACUUGAUACUGGGUGACUAGAGGACCGGAGAGGAUAGUGGAAUUCCCAGUGUAGUGGUGAAAUACGUAGAGAUUGGGAAGAACACCAGUGGCGAAGGCGGCUAUCUGGACGGUUACUGACGCUAAGACUCGAAAGCGUGGGGAGCAAACAGGAUUAGAUACCCUGGUAGUCCACGCCGUAAACGAUGGGUGCUAGACGUUGGCGAGCUUGCUCGUCAGUGUCGCAGCUAACGCGUUAA
rnacentral:rRNA from 1 species